CAGUCGCCGCGGUAAUACAGAGGGUGCAAGCGUUAAUCGGAAUUACUGGGCGUAAAGCGCGCGUAGGUGGUUCGCCAAGUUGGAUGUGAAAUCCCCGGGCUCAACCUGGGAACUGCAUCCAAAACUGGCGAGCUAGAGUAUGGUAGAGGGUGGUGGAAUUUCCUGUGUAGCGGUGAAAUGCGUAGAUAUAGGAAGGAACAUCAGUGGCGAAGGCGACCACCUGGACUGAUACUGACACUGAGGUGCGAAAGCGUGGGGAGCAAACAGGAUUAGAUACCCGGGUAGUCCCUGUCUCUUAUAC
rnacentral:rRNA from 1 species